rnacentral:lncRNA from 1 species
AUUUGAAGGAGGAGAAACUAACAAAUCCAAAGGGCUUGAGGUGGGAACAUACUUGGCAAUUUUAAAGAAUAGCAAGAAGGCCAUGUGGCUGGAGUGGGGCAUGUGAAGGCAGAGAGUUAGGAGAUGCCUUCAGAGAGUUAGGCUGGGGCUGAUCCUUGUGGGCGAUGAUAGAGAUUUAGGAUUUUAUUCUCAGUGUCAUGUGAAAACAUUGGAUGGUUGAGGUGGGCAUUAAUGUAAUAUGAUUUAAGUUUUAAAAUAUUCUGGAAAUUAAGUGUAGCAUAUUGAGCAUACAUAUUUAUCUUUUGUGCAAUAAACAUAUAAAGACAAAGAGAACUAGAAAGGAAGUCACAACGCGGAAGAAGUAUUCAACAACAUUUUGAAAUCUAGAAAUAUAGAAAAGACCUAACAGAUUUAACAGACUAGAGAAAGUUGAAACCUAAGAGAAGUGGGGGAGAGAGAGGCUGUUAUAGGUUGAAUUGUGUCCCCUAAAAGAUGAUGUGUUGUGGUCCUAACCUCUGCUACCUCAGAACAUGACCUUAUUUAGAACAAGAGUCUUUGCAGAUUUAGUCAUGUUAACAUGAAGUCAUUAGGUGGGCCUUAAUCCAAUAUAACUGAUGUCUUCAUAAAGGAAGAAAUUUGGGUACAGAGACAGACAAGCACCAAGAGAAGAUGAUGUGAAGAAGCACAGCGAGAACACCAUGUGAAAAUGGAGGACUGGAAUGAAGCAUCUACAAGCCAGGAAAUGUCUGAGGCUACCAGAAGCCAGGAGAGAGGCCUGGAACAGAUCCUGCACUAGAACCUUCAAAGAGAGCAUGGUCCUGCUGACAUGUUGAUUUUGGACUUCUGGCCUCCAGAGCUGUGAGAAUAAAUUUCAGUUGUUUUAAGCCAUCCAGUUUUUGGUACCUUAUUAUGGCAGCCCUAGCAAACUAAUAUAGACUCCGAUAAGAAUUCAACUGAUAUAUGCCAUGAAAUUUAGUAUAUCAUCAGGACUGGGAGAAACUGGUAACUUUAUAGGUGAAUAUGAAAG